UCCCUGGUGGUCCAGAGCUUAGGACUCUGUGCUUCCACUGCAGGCGGCCUAGGUUCGAUCCCUGGUUGGGAAA
rnacentral:tRNA from 1 species